rnacentral:tRNA from 2 species
GUCUCAGUAGCUCAAUUGGAUAGAGCGUCCCCCUCCUAAGGGGAAGGUUGGCAGUUCGAACCUGCCCUGGGACACCA